rnacentral:misc_RNA from 1 species
CAACUGUUCGGCGCUUCUCCUGAUGUUUGAUGUCUUAUUGUUUUCUGGCUGUAAAAUUGAAUUACUUAGCUUGGAGUAAAAAAAAUUGCAGACAAUUAAAGAAAGAUUUUUUUUUUCCUUCUCUCUGAUAAAUGACAAAACCUAGCUUUCAGAAGGCAAAAACUCAUUUAGAAAGACAAGAAAUUUUUGGUCGCCUCAUCUUCUUCUUGAUGAUUCACAAAAACCUUACACCCAAAUGGUGAAAUUUUCAUCUAGCAAACAGAAUGUUGAGAGAUUCUUUUGGCAUGAAUUUUCGUAAAAUGUCUGUACCCAAGAAAAGAAUGAAAGGAAGAGCAUUGUGAGAAUAAUCAACUUUUUUUUUUAUCUGAAUUUUUAUUAAUUUGGGUUGCGUUAUUAUCAACAUGACUUGCACUGGCAUAUUGAAUGAGCUAUUUAAUUGGGGCUCACUGUCCUCUUCCUACAACCCCUCUGACUCCACUUAGGCUUUGUUUGGAUGGGGUGAGGGAAG